UCUUCAGCGAGUAGUUUACCUGUACAAGAUCUGUGGUGUUCUCUAAAGGCGGAAAUAUGUGCAGACUUGACAUAGUGAUCUGAGUGUUAAUAAGUUUAAUAAAUGUCACUGGUUAGUUUCUACUUGGAAAGAAAUGUUUUGGGUCUUGAAGACCAGACGGUCUGUUGGUCUAUAGCUGCUGUGUUUAUAUGUGUAUAUGCGAGGAUGGAAAGUGUUCAGGAAGAGUUGCCUGCAUUUGGGGAAGUUCCUUUUAUAAGUUAGCUUAUUUAAAAACAAAUGCUGGGACGCGUCCUCUAGGUCGAUAAAUGUGCAUGUAUUUUAGCAUUAGUAUGAUUAGUAUGAUAACACAACAUGCAUGCUAAAAUCAGGAAAGGGAGAAACUUGACACAGUCAGUGCCUUUGAAUAGUCAGUUGUGUAAAUAUGAAAGCCCAGAACAUCAUCCUCAGAGUGAUCGCUAUCAGGCUGAGAAUAAGGGGAGUUGUUUUGGCCAUGUGGAUUUAUAGUAGCGCUUAUGUUAGCAUAAAGUUUUUAAUAUUCAGGAUACUUUUUCAGUUUCUCUGUAAUCCUAAAACUCUGAAAAUUACAGGAAAAUAGGAGAUCCAGGCAUAAAGAAGUACUUUUCCAAGGUCAUGUGUUAAAUUAGUGGCAACAUUGGAAUAUUUUGAUUACUAAUUUAGUAGUGUAUUGUCCAUAUCAUAGUGCCUCAGGAGAUUGUAAUUGCCAAAUACAAGUGUAUUUGGAAAGGAGGUAAAUAUGAUUGAUUAGAUUAUGCUUGGGAGAGCUUAAAGUAUGAAACAUGUAUAGAAUAUACAUUGUUUUUGCCUGUCCUGUAUGAGAUAGGUAGUUAUAAUUUUGAUGUGUUUACAGAGCAAGCAGAGCACUUCUGACAGUUUAGUAUGUAUGACAGUUAAAAUGCUUCCACAGCCUACUUUGUAUAGGUGUAGCUGUUUGUGGCUGGUUGAGGUUUUUUGUGCAGGGGAAGGGGAGAACAUCUGGGGAAUUAUCCUGCUAACAAGCAUUCUACCAAAGAGCCAUACUCCUGUCUGGCAGCUUGACUUCAUUUCUACCAGAGAAAGGACCUUUUUUGACUCAUCUAACAAAAAUAUUGGAUACCUAAUAAUUGAUAACCUGUCUUGGGGUAAGAAUUAUCAAGAUCUGUUGAUUAGCUUGUUGAAGUAGGUAGGGAUAUAUAAGAGGGGAAUUGUCAAUAUACUAAGAGAGCAAAUAAAUCUGUGGAAUCGAAACCACCAAACCUUUUCUAAAAGCUUUCAGUCUGAAUGUGGUGGUGCACACUUGUAAUCCCAAUAUUCUGGAGGCUGAGGCAGGAGGAUCAUGAGUUCAAGCUCUUUUCUAUGCUUCAUAUUAAGUUUAAAGUCAGCCCUGGUUUUGGAAGACGUUAUCUCAGCAAACAAGGGGCUGGAGAUGAGGCUCAGAGCGAAGAGCACUUCCUGCUCUUCACAGGACGGGGUCCCAGCUCCCAGCACCCAGUUCAGGCAGCUCACAGCUGCUUAUAACUCUAGGGUAUCUGCCUCGCCUUUCCAGUCUCUGCUGAUGAAUACACACACACACACACACACACACACACACACACACACACACAGGAGAGAGAGAUAGAGACAGAGAGAGAGAAAGGUCAUCCAACAGGUGCUAUGCUUGUAACAGAGUAAGCUUUUUGGACAGUUUCCUUUUGUUGCCCAGGACCUAUUAUGUGGCCCAGGCUGGCCUCAAAUUUGAGGAUUGUAGUCUUCUUGCCAUAGCCUUCUGGGAUUAUAGUCAUGAGCCAACUCGCCUGACUUCUUUGGCAGUUUCUUUUGGCAUUUAUGAGUAAACUGUUUUUGGGAUCUGUAAAUUAUUGAUAUGUGCCUUUGGAUAUUGGAACUUCUUGGCUGGACUGUAGGAAUUCUUCGAAAGGCUAAUUUUGUAGUACAGAUCCCCUCUUGGAAAAUGAGGAAUCUUUGAACUAAUUCAACUGUAUUAUUGGAUGUUUCCUAGUCUAGAACACACACACACACACACACACACACACGCACGCACACACACAAAUUUAUCCUGAGAAUCUGAGGAAAUAGAGACCUUACAUUUAAUGUAUAGAUCAGGCUGGCCUCAGACAGCGAUCUGUCUACCUCUUUGAGUGCUGGGAUUAAAUGCAUGUAUCACCGUGCCCAGCUAUUAAGUAUAUACUUUUGAGAGCUUAAGUUGUAAUGAAAUAAUACUAAUUCAGAAGGUCUUGUUUUUAAAUACCUACUUUCCCCUUGUAUUUUCUUUAGGAGUAGAGAUGUAUUUAAGUUUGAAGGUGAAUGCUGUAGUAGUACUUGAAUGUGUCAUCAGGAGAACUUCAGGAUCAGGGUUUUAAAUUUGUCCUCAAGAGAGCAUUUAGAAAAGUCUAGGCAGGAAGAUGAUUGUGAAUUCAAGGCCAGCCUGGACUACAUAGUGAGUUCUAGGUUAGCCUAAGCUGUAAAGUGAGACUCUCAGAAAACCAGACAGGGAAAAGAGAAUUUAUCUUUCUGCAGUUAGUAAAUAAUUGUGGACUGUGUUUGAUAAGGAUAUGUAAUGCAGUACAUCUUUAUAUUCUGAUUUUUGAGAAAUACUGUCUUUUUUUCCUCAGUUGUAUGUUGAGACAGAUGAUUCCUCUCUCUGAUUCUUCUUUGAUAAUGUGUUUAGUUAUAAGCACAUUUCACUGCUCCUACAUGGAGAACACUUAAGAUAUGUAGUGUCUGUUAUUCUAGAGAUUUCUUUUUUUAUAAAUUUAUUUUUUAAGAUUUUAUUUUAUUGUAUAUGAGUACACUGUAACUGCCUUCAGAUGCACCAGAAGAGGGCAUCAGAUCUCAUUACAGAUGGUUGUAAGCCACCAUGUGGUUGCUGGGAUUUGAACUCAGGACCUCAGGAAGAGCAGUCGGUGCUCUUAACCACUGAGCCAUCUCUCCAGCCCCCAUAUUCUAGAGAUUUUAAUCCAGAUGAAUCUAUGACUUGCAUAAUAUUGAGGACUCUGACUAGAAGGUUGAAUUGAGAUUUUACAGCUUGUGAAGGGUUUUUGAUUAUAUUUAUUAUUUUAAUUAAUAUUAUUAUGUAUGUGCUUGAUGUGUGUCUGGGUGUGCUUUUCCUGGUACACAUGUGGAAGGCAGAGGACAGCUUGGUAGAGUUGGUCAUCUCCCUGUCUUUGUAUAGUUUCGGAUCAGAAUCAAGUCUCCAGGCUUUGGAAGCAGAUCUAUCUAUUGAGUUACGUUGCUGGUCUUGAUUAUUAGAAGGCUAUAAAAUGCAUAUACUGUAUGUAAGGUUAUAUACUUAUAAUCCUUUCAGGGGCUAAAAAAAUGGCCAUCAGUUAAGAGCACUUACUGCUUUUGCAAAAGACAGGUUUGAUUCUCAAGUACUCAAAUGGCAGCUUACAACUGCACAUAACUGUAGUUCCAGAGGAUCCAGCACUUUCUUCUGGUCUCUGCAAGUUCUGGGAUGAAUGUAGUAGGUAUAAACCCAUUUGGGCACAAUCAGAUACACAUAAAAGUAAAAAUAAAAAUUUAAAGUGCCUUCACAUUGGGUGUGGUGGAACAUGCCUUUAAUCCCAAUAGCUUGCUUUGGUUUUUGAAAAAGGGAUUUCACUAGCCCAGGAUACCACUAUGUUAACCUGUAGGGGAUUUCUGUAAAAAGGUCUUGAUGCCAUUUGGGGAUACUUGGUAUAAAAUUCAAGGAUCGUUUGAUAACUACCCAUGAAUCCACUAUUUGAAAUAAAAAGCAAUUAGUGUACUUUGAAAAAAGUAAAAGUUUAAGAAAGGCAUUUAACUUAUUUUAGAGAAGGAAUUUUAACAGGAUAGAUUGUGUGGGUCUCAGUAAAAGUGCUUUGUCUUUUUUUUUUUUUUAAGAUUUACUUUAUUUUAUGUGUAUUUUGCCUGUAUAUAUGUGUGUGUACCGUGUGUGUCUGGUAUCAAUGGAGGAUCUUGAGAACAUGUGGCUGUUGGCUCCUAUGUGGGUGCUGAGUACAAGUACAAGCAUUAUCAUGUACUUAUCUCUCCACUCCUGUUCUCUUAUUUUGUAUUAGAAUGGCCUCUGUAAAACUUUGUGAGGGCUGGAGAGAUGGCUCACUUGAGUGCUCUUCCAGAGGCCCUGAGUUCAAUUCCCAACAACCCCAUGGUGGCUCACAACUGUCUGUAAUGGAGAUCUGAUGCCCUCUUCUGGCAUGUUUGAAGAUAGUCACAGUGUGUUUCAUAUACAUAAAAUAAAUAAAAAAAAAAACUUUGAAAAGUUUUUUUUCUCCAGUACUUAAUGAGUAUGUCCAUGGUGUUGUUUUAUUGGUUGUAUAUGCAUAUAUAUUUUUUCACAUAUGUAUAUAUUUUUUUUUCUUUUUCUUUUUUUCGGAGCUGGGGACCGAACCCAGGGUCUUGCGCUUUCUAGGCAAGCGCUCUACCACUGAGCUAAAUCCCCAACCCCCACAUAGGUAUAUUUUGUCCUUUGUGUAUUUCACAUACUUUAAAAUUAACUUUUUUUGGAUGUAGUAUCUCACAUAAUAGCCAAGGCUAUCCUGGAAUUCACUAUGUAGCUCAGACUAACCUCAAACUCAGGAAAGUCAUCUUGUCUCUGCCUCCUAGGUCCUAGAGUUAGAAGCCUGAGCCAGUGUGACUGCAUAUGUAGAGGGAUCACUUAAGCCCAUAAGCUAGAGGUCAGCUGGGUAGCAUUUUGAGAUCUUGUCUCAAAAACAAAACAAAUACUUAAAAUCUCUUUCCCUCUCCCCUUCCCUCCCUCUCUCCCUCCCUCCUUCCCUCCUUCCUUCUCUCUCUCUCUCUCUCUCACACACACACACACACACACACACACACACACACACGCACACACACACAGACGUUCAAAUUCUUAUGGAACAGUAAUGGAAAAAAACCCAGACCAUCCAGUUAAAGGUCUGCUGGGUUAUGUGCUAAGACCCUGUUUCAAACAAACCAAACCAGGAGUAGAAAAAGAUUAUGUCUUGUUUUUACAUUGUGAACUUCCAAAUAUCUUGCAGGGUAUUGGCUUUACAAUGUUAACAGUUCCACUGGCUUUGGCUAAUAAAGAUGUGGCCAUUUCCACUCCUGCCCAUUUGUUUGUGCAUAGUGGAGAAGUCUGACCCGGCAGUUGCAGCCCCCCCCCCCAAACCUUCGUGUUGUUUUUUAAAUUAAGUAUGGUGGUAUGAGUAUUUUAAGGAGUUUUUAAAGAUACAUAUUUUUAUUGGUGUAUACACAUGGGAGCAAGAGAGACAGAGACAAAGAGAUACUGAGAGAGAUUACAUUGAAGGGCCACAAGAGGGCAUCAAAUCCCCCUGGAGAUGGAGUUAAAGGUGGAUCAAACCUGGUGCUGGCAACUAAAUUCUGGUCCUCUACAAGAGCAGCAAGCACUCUUCUUACCCGCAGAGCCAUCUCUCCAGUCUCAGUCUAUUUUAAAGACACUUUAGAGCCUUAAUAUUUUCUGUGAGUCUUAUGUGUCAGCCUUCAAAAACAAUGAGAUACUUUAAACCUUGUUACCACAAAAAAGGAAAAUGUUCAUUGUAGUUGGUUUUUGUUUCUAUCCAUGCUUCUAGUUCUUACAAUUUUCUCAGUUAGCUGUAAUUUUUCAUGUUUCUGUUUUCAUUUGCAUACAUGUAUCUGUGUGUUCUUGUGAGUGGAAGUGGGAGGAGGACUUCAAGUGUCAUUCCUUCUAAGUUGCUGUCUAUCUUGUCUUUGAAAUAGGGUCUCUUACUGGCUUGUGGCUCAACUAGUAGGAUAGGUGGACUGAAUUGCUGGUAGCUCCAGCUAUAUAUAUCCUAGCAUUGAGAUCAUAAGCAAGCACCACACCUGACCGUUUUUACAUUGGUACUGGGGCUCAGAGUCAGGGCUCUAUACUUACAAAGCAAGAACUUUAUCUAUCAGCUGAGCUUCCACCCCUCUUCUGUUUCUUUGUAUGAAGAUGCCUUUCUACUUGUCAUCCUAAUAGAUACCUGGAAAGGUAGAGUUUCAUGUAGCUUAGGUUGGCCUGCAGCCUUGAACUUCUGUUCUUCCUGACUCUUACCUUCCAAGUGCUAGGAUUAUAGGCAUAUGCUAAGCCUGCCUCAGAAAUCUUUUUUUUUAAGUAACUGGGUCAUUAGAAUUGUUAAUAGCAAGAGUCUGGUGAAUUUUUUUUUUUUUUUUUUUUAUUAACUUGAGUAUUUCUUAUAUACAUUUCGAGUGUUAUUCCCUUUCCCGGUUUCCGGGCAAACAUCCCCCUCCCCCCUGAGUCUGGUGAAUUUAAGUUAAAUAUAAUUACUAUUUUAGAGUUUCAUUUCUAUCAUUGUGUUUUACAUGUUUGAGGAAUCUAUAAAUUUUUAGUAUUUAUUACUUUUACUCUUGAUUUUUUUUAAUUCUAAAGAAAGUUUUGUUUAUGUGUAUAAUUUUUGUGGCUGUAUGUUUUUCUUUAUCAUUUGUAUAUCAGGUGCCUAUAUAGACAGAAGUGGGGGUUUGAUCCCCUGGGAUUAGAGUUAGAGAUGGUCAUGAGCCACCUUGUGGGUACAGGGAACUGAAGUCCUCCAGAAGAACAGCAGCCAUUUUCCAGCUCCUGUUCUUUCGUUCUUAUAUUGAUACUAAUCUCCAUAGGUGUGUUUAUAUAACUCUUAUAUGACUCUAUUUUAUGGUCAUGGGAAUUAAAUUACUUGUGCUAGCGACGACUUGGAAUCUAUGUUGUCAAUAGGGAAGCCCUCUAACAGUGAAAGUGGAUGGAGAUUCCCAUCACUGCUUUUAGCUGUUCUCAGAUUAGUCAGAAAAGCUAGUUGGUAUCAUGUUGAUAGUUUUCUAUUGUUUUAGUCAUACUGACAAAAUGUUAAAAACAUUUUCUGUGGAAUCCAAUUACCACAAAGAAGUGAGUUGGCAUUGGAGACAUUGAACAAGAGCAGAAUUGUUCUGCCUCAAGGCAGCUAGCUACUCAGAAGAAUGAAAUCCAUAUUGGUUUGAUUUUGAAGUUUGAUGAUGAACACUAUGUAUGGGCAGUUGGGAAAUUGUACUUACCUUAUGUGGUAAGUGUUGAUGAUGUUCAUGUGGUGUUCAUGACGAGCAGAAGCAAGACAGUGACAGCAAAGGCUGCUCUUAAGCUGAGAGGAUGUUCCUGAGAACAGACAUUUUAAAUUGUUAACUCCUUAAAAUUUAUUCAGUUGUCUAAAUUUAUCUUAUUUUGAAAUUGGGUCUCAUUCUAAGUUCAAGUUGGCCUGAAAAUCACUAUUUAACUCAAUUUUGUCUUAAACUUGAUCCCUCUGCCUCAACCUCCUGAAUUCUAAGAUUAUACACAUUUGUUACCUUACUUAGCAUAGUUUUUGUUUCUUUUUGGGUUUUUUUGUUUUUGUUUUUUUGGGGGGGAUAGUGUCUUGCCGUUUUGCUUAAGGUGAUUUGUUAAACAUGCAUCUCUCUCUCUUUUCCUCCAUCUUUAUUAACUUGAGUAUUUCUUAUUUACAUUUCCAGUGUUAUUCCCUUUCCCCAUUUCCAGGCCAGCAGCCCCCUAACCCUCCCCUCUCCCCUUCUAUGUGGGUGUUCCCCUCCCCACCCUCCCCCCAUUGCCACCCUCCCCCCAACAGUCUAGUUCACUGGGGUUCAGUCUUAGCAGGACCCAGGGCUUCCCCUUCCACUGGUGCCCUUACUAGGAUAUUCAUUGCUACCUAUGAGGUCAGAGUCCAGGGUCAGUGCAUGUAUAGUCUUUGGGUAGUGGCUUAGUCCCUGGAAGCUCUGGUUGGUUGGCAUUGUUGUACAUAUGGGGUCUCGAGCCCCUUCAAGCUCUUCCAGUCCUUUCUCUGAUUCCUUCAACGGGGGUCCCGUUCUCAGUUCAGUGGUUUGCUGCUGGCAUUCGCCUAUGUAUUUGCUGUAUUCUGGCUGUGUCUCUUAAUAUUUGACUCUAUGUUUUGUCUUGUUUUCUGUAUGUGGUACCUAGUCAUUUUACUCAAACAGUUUUGUUUGUCUCAAGGAGGACAGUAUGUCAAUUAUAAAUUAGUUUUGUUUUGGCUUCUCAGUGUAAAUGGUAUUGUUUGAAAUUUGGAAAGGACAUUUUUAAGGUUUCCUAGUUCUGCACUGCUGAAAUGAAGACUCCAUAGUUCAAGUAUUUUCUGACUAAGUCCAACAAGGGCAAAAUGGGAAAAAUUUAAAAGAUAUCUUUGAAAAUAAGAAAUGAAAAAUUGAUGUUUGAAAAAUAGGGCUCAAAGGGAUUGAAUCAGUCAUGUAGAAUAAUCACCAGGUGAACAUUCUGUGUUUUCAGAGGUGAUCUGAAGGUACAAAUCUUAAACAAGUAGAGAUUCCAUGUCCAACUAAAUGAUAAACACAGGUUAGGAAGUUAAUGUUUAGAUGCAAAGAGAUAAAAAUAAUGAGUAGUUACUUUUUUUAAAGCUAUUUGUUUUGUAUGCAUGCGUUUAAUUUUGAGGAAGGAAAAGUCAAGUAAUAACAGAACAAAGUUAGGAUUUUGAUUAACAAAGUUUUUUUGUUUUGUUUUGGUUUUUGUUGUUUAUGGUUUUUGGUUUUUUAAGACAGGCUAUUAUGUAGGCUAUUCUGGAACUCACAGGCUGACCUUGUCCUUAGAAAGCAUCUGCCCCUGCCUCCCCAGUGCUAUGAUUAAAGAUGAGUGCCACCACUUCUAGGCAACAAGGAAAGAGAUGCUGGUUGCAAGUUUUGGAAAACACUAUUUUGUAUGGAAGAGUGUUCUGUAAAGGUUUUGUAAGAUCGCUCAGUAAUAGUGCACUUGUGAUGGACCCUAGGAAUACUGCUAUGUUAGGAUUGGGUUCUGACUCCGAAGGGUUUUCAAGAAAGAGUCCUUCUGCCAUCAGUUCUGGCACUCUGGCCAGCAAGAGAGAAGUAGAAAUAGAGGGUAACACAGACGAAGAGGAUCCUCGAAAGCGGAAUCGAGAAAGGGCCAUAGAAGCAGGAAAAGACGAUGGUUUGACAGAUGCACAGCAACAGUUUUCAGUGAAAGAAACAAACUUUUCAGAGGGAAAUUUAAAAUUGAAAAUUGGCCUUCAGGCUAAGAGAACUAAAAAGCCUCCAAAGAACUUGGAGAACUAUGUGUGUCGCCCUGCCAUAAAAACAACUGUCAAGCACUCAAGGAAAGCACUUAAAAGUGGGAAGAUGACAGAUGAGAAGAAUGAACACUGCCCUUCAAAAUGGGACUCUUCAAAAUUGUUCAAGAAAGCAGGUGAUGCUACAGCCAUCGAAUGCCAAUCUGAAGAAAGUGUCCAUCUUCACUCUCAGGGGGAAAAUAACCCUUUGUCUAAGAAGCUUUCUCCAGUGCAUUCACAAAUGGCCGAUUACAUUCCUGCAGCACCACCUCUUGUUGGCAGUCGGGAUCCUGACAUAAAGGACAGAGCAUUACUUAAUGGAGGAACUAGUGUAACAGAAAAGUUGGCACAGCUCAUUGCUACCUGUCCUCCUUCCAAGUCUUCCAAGGCAAAACCGAAGAAGUUAGGAACUGGCACUACAGUAGGAUUGGUUAGCAAGGACUUGAUCAGGAAACCAGGUGUUGGUUCUAUAGCUGGAAUAAUUCAUAAAGACUUAAUUAAAAAGCCUGCUCUUAGCACAGCAGUUGGAUUGGUAACUAAAGAUCCAGGGAAAAAGCCUAUGUUCAAUGCAGCAGUAAGCCUGAUCAAUAAGGACUCUGUGAAAAAAUUGGGAACUGGCACUACAGCGGUAUUCAUUAAUAAAGACUUAGGCAAAAAGCCAGGGACUGUCACUACAGUAGGACUGCUGAGCAAAGACCCAGGGAAGAAGCUAGGAAUUGGUAUCGUUCCAGGGUUAGUGAAUAAAGAGUCUGGCAAGAAAUUAGGACUUGGCACCGUAGUUGGACUGGUUAAUAAAGAGUUGGGAAAGAAAUUGAGUUCUACAGUUGGCCUAGUGGCCAAGGAUGUUACGAAGAAGAUUGUAGCAAGCUCAGCAAUGGGAUUGGUUAAUAAGGACAUUGGAAAGAAAUUAUUAAGUUGCCCCAUUGCAGGACAACUGGGCAGUAAAGAUGCCUUAAACCUUAAAUCUGAAGCACUGCUCCCCACUCAGGAACAACUUAAGGCUUCCUGUAGUGCAAACAUAAGUAAUCAUGAAAGUCAAGAACUUCCUGAGUCUCUGAAAGACAGUGCUACCAGCAAAACCUUUGAGAAGAAUGUUAUGCGGCAUAGUAAAGAAAGCAUGUUGGAAAAGUUUUCAGUCCGAAAAGAAAUUACUAAUUUGGAGAAAGAAAUGUUUAAUGAAGGAACAUGCAUUCAGCAAGACAGUUUCUCAUCUAAUGAAAGGGGAGCCUUUGAGACCUCAAAGCAUGAAAAGCAACCUCCUGUGUAUUGCACUUCUCCUGACUUUCAAAUAGGAGGUGCCUCUGACGCAUCUACAGCUAAAUCUCCCUUUGGUGCAGUAGGAGAAAGCAAUCUUCCUUCCUCGUCACCUACUGUAUCUGUUAACCCUUUAACCAGAAAUCCCCCUGAAACUUCUUCACAGUUGGUUCCAAACCCAUUACUUUUAAAUUCUACAGCAGAACAAAUGGAAGAAAUUUCUGAAUCUAUUGGAAAGAACCAGUUCACUGCUGAAAGUACCCACUUGAAUGUUGGUCAUAGGUCAUUAGGUCAUAGCAUAAGUAUUGAGUGUAAAGGAAUUGAUAAAGAACUAAAUGAAUCAAAAAGUACACAUCUAGAUAUUUCUAGAAUAAGUUCUUCCUUGGGAAAAAAGCCAAGUUUGGCUUCUGACUCUGGUAUUCAUACAAUUACUCCUUCCGUUGUUAAUUUUACUAGUUUAUUUAGUAACAAACCUUUUCUAAAGCUUGGUGCAGUAGCUGCACCAGACAAGCACUGCCAGGUCGCUGAAAGCCUAAGCACUAGUUUCCAGUCCAAACCAUUGAAAAAAAGAAAAGGGAGAAAAGCUCGGUGGACUAAAGUGGUGGCAAGAAGCACAUGCCGAUCCCCAAAAGGACUAGACUUAGAACGGUCAGAGCUUUUUAAGAAUGUUUCCUGUAGCUCACUAUCAAAUAGUUCUGAGCCAGCAAAGUUUAUGAAAACUAUCGGAGCAUCGUCUUUUGUCGAUCAUGACUUCCUUAAACGCCGAUUGCCAAAGUUGAGUAAGUCUUCAGCUCCAUCUCUUGCUCUUUUAGCCGACAGUGAGAAAGCAUCUCAUAAGUCUUUUAUCACUCACAAACUGUCCUCCAGUAUGUGUGUCACUAGUGAUCUUUUGUCGGAUAUUUAUAAGCCCAAAAGAGGAAGACCCAAAUCCAAGGAAAUGCCUCAACUAGAAGGUCCACCUAAAAGGACUUUAAAAAUACCUGCCUCUAAAGUUUUUUCUUUACAGUCUAAAGAAGAACAAGAACCCCCAAUUUUACAACCAGAAAUUGAAAUUCCUUCCUUCAAACAAAGUUUGUCUGUAUCUCCUUUUCCAAAAAAGAGAGGCAGGCCUAAGAGGCAGAUGAGGUCUCCAGUGAAGAUGAAGCCCCCUGUACUGUCAGUGGCUCCAUUUGUUGCCACUGAAAGUCCAAGUAAGCUAGAGUCUGAAAGUGAGAACCAUAGAAGUAGCAGUGAUUUCUUUGAGAGUGAGGAUCAGCUUCAGGAUACAGAUGACUUAGAGGACAGUCAUAGGCAAAGUGUCUGCAGUGUGAGUGACCUGGAGAUGGAGCCGGAUAAAAAAAUUAGCAAGCGAAACAAUGGACAAUUAAUGAAAACAAUUAUCCGCAAAAUAAAUAAAAUGAAGACUUUAAAGAGAAAAAAAUUGUUGAAUCAGAUUCUUUCAAGUUCUGUAGAAUCAAGUAAUAAAGGAAAAGUACAGUCCAAACUUCAUAAUACAGUAUCAAGUCUUGCUGCCACGUUUGGCUCUAAAUUGGGGCAACAGAUAAAUGUCAGCAAGAAAGGAACCAUUUACAUAGGGAAGAGAAGGGGGCGAAAACCAAAAACUGUCUUAAAUGGCCUUCUUUCUGGUAGCCCUGCCAGCCUUGCUGUGCUUGAACAAACGGCUCAGCAGGCAGCUGGGUCCGCAUUAGGACAGAUCCUCCCCCCGUUACUGCCUUCACCUGCUAGUAGCUCUGAGAUCCUUCCAUCACCUAUUUGCUCUCAGUCUUCUGGGACUAGUGGAGGUCAGAGCCCUGUCAGUAGUGACGCAGGCUUUGUUGAACCUAGUUCAGUGCCAUAUUUGCAUGUGCACUCAAGACAGGGCAGUAUGAUUCAGACUCUUGCAAUGAAGAAGGCUGCCAAAGGCAGGAGGCGGCUAUCUCCUCCUACUUUGUUGCCAAAUUCUCCUUCUCAUUUGAGUGAACUCACAUCCCUGAAAGAAGCCACUCCUUCCCCAGUUAGUGAGUCUCAUAGUGAUGAGACCAUUCCCAGUGACAGUGGCAUUGGGACAGAUAAUAAUAGCACAUCAGACAGGGCAGAGAAGUUUUGUGGACAGAAAAAAAGGAGACAUUCUUUUGAGCACAUUUCUCUGAUUCCCCCUGAAACUUCUACCGUCCUAAACAGUCUUAAAGAGAAACACAAACACAAAUGUAAGCGCAGGAGUCACGAUUACCUCAGCUAUGACAAGAUGAAAAGACAAAAGCGAAAACGGAAAAAGAAAUAUCCCCAGCUUCGAAAUAGGCAGGAUCCAGACUUCAUCGCAGAACUAGAGGAGCUGAUAAGUCGUCUAAGUGAGAUUCGGAUUACCCAUCGAAGUCAUCAUUUCAUUCCCCGAGACCUCCUGCCAACUAUUUUUCGAAUCAACUUUAAUAGUUUCUAUACACAUCCUUCUUUUCCCUUAGACCCUUUGCACUACAUUCGGAAGCCUGACUUAAAAAAGAAAAGAGGGAGGCCCCCUAAGAUGAGGGAGGCAAUGGCAGAAAUGCCCUUUAUGCACAGCCUUAGUUUUCCUUUAUCUAGUACUGGAUUUUACCCUUCUUAUGGCAUGCCUUAUUCUCCUUCACCCCUCACUGCUGCUCCGAUAGGAUUAGGGUAUUAUGGACGGUAUCCCCCCACUCUCUAUCCACCACCUCCAUCUCCUUCAUUCACCACUCCACUGCCACCUCCCUCCUAUAUGCAUGCUGGUCAUUUAUUGCUCAAUCCUACCAAAUAUCAUAAGAAAAAGCAUAAGCUCCUUAGACAGGAGGCUUUUCUUACAACCAGCAGGACUCCUCUCCUUUCCAUGAGCACCUACCCCAGCGUACCUCCUGAGAUGGCUUAUGGUUGGAUGGUGGAGCACAAACACAGACACCGUCACAAACACAGAGAGCACCGUUCUGAACAGCCCCAGGUUUCCAUGGAUACUGGCUCCUCCAGAUCGGUCUUGGAGUCUUUGAAACGUUACCGAUUUGGUAAGGAUACUGUUGGAGAUCGCUAUAAGCAUAAGGAAAAGCACAGGUGUCACAUGUCCUGCCCUCAUCUCUCUCCUUCAAAGAGCUUAAUAAACAGAGAAGAACAGUGGGUUUCUCGAGAGCCUUCAGAAUCAAGUUCUUUAGCCUUGGGAUUGCAAACACCUUUACAAAUUGACUGCUCGGAAAGUUCUCCAAGUUUGUCCCUUGGAGGAUUUACUCCCAAUUCUGAGCCAGCCAGCAGUGAUGAACAUAUGAACCUUUUUACAAGUGCAAUAGGCAGCUGCAGAGUUUCAAACCCUAACUCGAGCUGCCGGAAGAAGUUAACUGACAGCCCUGGACUCUUUCCUGUACAAGAUACUGCACUAAGUCGGCCUCACAGAAAGGAACCGUUGCCUUCCACUGAAAGGGCAAUACAAUCGUUGGCAGUUUCUCAGGAAUUGCUGUACAGUGCUGCCAAUAACGAUCUCCGGGGAUCUGACCCCCAUUCCACCUCCCACUGCUUCUUCAGCAGCUCCAGAUGCCACCAAAAGAAGGAGCUUUGAAGACAGUGCCUGUACCCUCUUUUACCCUGAGGUGGGUGAGGCCAGGCAGGGUGAUUCUCAGGAUAUCCUGAUGAUCAAAGGUUCCCAGUCAGCUUCCGAUAAACCUUCCCAGCGAUCAUCAGAAAGCACAAAUUGUAGCCCUACCCGUAAAAGGUCUUCAUCUGAAAGUACUUCUUCAACAGCUUUAUAGAAAAACCAGUUGAAAUUCCCAGUCCUCUUGAAACCCCGGCUGAACCUUCUGAACCUGAAAGUAACUUACAACCUGUGCUGGCUCUCAUCCCACGAGAAAAGAAA